rnacentral:lncRNA from 1 species
GGAAACAUCAUAAGGAUACAUGAUGUGGUCUGUAUUUCCCCUUACAUCCUUGACAGCAGUCAGUCUGUAUUUAUAAAAGGAGACUACACUAGAAAAUUUAAAAAAAAAUGGAUUCAAGGCCUUGAUUAUGACAAAGCAAAGAUUAAAGUGACAGUAGCUUUUAUUACAGUGCUAUGCUUCUGUAAAUUAAGUCUGAAGCUUCAUUAGGCACAAAAAAGAUGGAGGCAUUUUCAUAAUGUUUUUUAAGCUAACAAUAUGAUUUAUUCUCAUAGAUAAUUAAUUUAAAAAAAUUCUUUCUUUAUGGCAGUUUUGCAUUGGCUGCAACAACUUGUGCAACAAAAUGUGGAGAAGCAUGUUAGUAAUUUUUUUUCCCGUUUGGUAUCUUCUACAAGCAGGAUCCCAUUCCUGAGCCCUAGAUUCACUUACACAUGACAUUAAAACUUCAAAGCAGGACUGCAGGAAACAACAAUUUUCUGAAGGCAGCAAAGGCUUAGUUAUGAGACUGCAAAGAGAAGCCAAAAUGAAGAACAUCUGCCUGAAUGCAGCCAAACACACACUGCAGCAAACCCAGAAGCACAGGCUGAAGUGUCAGACCUCAGUUCUUCAGCCUGCAUUCCCCAAUGGAUGGUUACACAUCAACUGCAGUCCCAUAGUUGUAUGACUGAAAUAGUAAAUGAAAGCAAAAAUCUUGCAACUUAAGUGAUAUUAUACUCACAUUUUAGUAUUGUAGUUAGUCAAUUUAUUGGUUUAAAAAAGAGACUGAAGUAUUUUAUUCUGUGACAAUUUAAGGACCUCUGUCACAUUUGAGCCCUCUUGUUUUUCACAUCACUGAUGUCAAAGCUUGAUGUAGGUGACCUUUGGACAAUAAGGGUCUGUUAUUUUUGGUGGCAAUAUUAGUCCAGGUGCUAAUGCUUAGAUACCCUGAUGAAGGAGAAAGAGUAACAAGGAGUGGUUCUUCUAUGGAAAAAAUCUGUGCUCUGUGUGGCACAUCUUGAUUAAGGAUGGAUAGCUGUGGCCUCAUUUCAAAGCAUGGGUGGAGAGAUUUGCUCAUUUUAGCACGUGUUUUUAAUUUCUAUUCACUGGAGCUGCGACGUUCUCGAGCCCACUGCGUGGUUAUGCUAGGAAGCGUGGCUCUGCUCUGGUGCUGAAGGCAGGCUGUUCUUUGGGUGCAGUGGGAUCUGUUUCUCAUUCCUAGGCAUGUAAAAUGCCCAGGCCUGUAGGAUAUGGCUCAGCUCCCUUUCUCAACAAUUCAGUGAUGACAACUACAUUAACAUAUUUGGGUAUUAGUUGUUUUAGUACUGCCAAAUAUCAAAGGUUUGGUGGAAAGAUGCUGCCAUAAGAACUUCUAUGAAGAGACACAAUACUGUUUUGUAAGAGCUGUGGAGCCAAAGCCAGCAGCUGUAUCUCACCAUUGAAACAAUCACGGAGAGGUUACUGAAAUAACUAAGAAAAUUUAUCAGAAAAAGAACAUCUUGGAACUACAGUUAUUUCCCUAAGUUCUUUUAAAGAU